CGUAUUCGGAUUGAGAAUCGGAAUCGGUAUCGGAAUCAAAAUACGAGACCCAGAACACAGAGAAGAGAGCCACAUGUGCUGGAACGACUUGCUAAUUGAAUUUGCUCACUCAGAUCGUGGGAUCAUUGGAGAGCUUUUUCUACUACGGGUCUUCGUCAUCACCAGAUCGGCGAUCCCAGCCAGCAGAAAGCUCAAGAUAUCGGACAAAAGAAAGCUACUACAUUUUGCAGUCCAUGGAAAAAUUCUACAAGGCACAUAAAAGGUUAAACGAGGGAAACAACAACCCUUAGGAUACACUGUUCAUAUAUUUGUAUUCUUGCAACAGGUAGCUGGGAAAUGCUGUUUGUUUAAAAACUUGAUAUAACAAGAAUGUACUGACGAAUGCACUUAAGGUAAUAAAACGAAUUAUAAUUGUU